GCUAAACGCGAAGAACCUUACCUACACUUGACAUACCUCUUGGGACUUUCAGAGAUGAUUGUUUUCGGUUCGGCCGGGAGGAUACAGGUGCUGCAUGGCUGUCGUCAGCUCGUGUCGUGAGAUGUUGGGUUAAGUCCCGCAACGAGCGCAACCCUCGCCAUUAAUUGCCAUCAUUUGGUUGGGCACUUUAAUGGGACUGCCGGUGACAAACCGGAGGAAGGUGGGGAUGACGUCAAGUCCUCAUGGCCCUUAUGGCCAGGGCUUCACACGUAAUACAAUGGUCGGUACAGAGGGCAGCCAACCCGCGAGGGGGAGCCAAUCCCAGAAAGCCGAUCGUAGUCCGGAUUGCAGUCUGCAACUCGACUGCAUGAAGUCGGAAUCGCUAGUAAUCGCGGAUCAGCAUGUCGCGGUGAAUACGUUCCCGGGUCUUGUACACACCG
rnacentral:rRNA from 1 species